GCGGCUGCCAGAAGGCCUUUUUUUGUCUUUUCCUCCUCAAGAGGCUAGCAGAACUUGGAAACUUGGAGUCUUGAGAGUUAAUUCUCCCAUCGACUGAAGAGGCUGCCUUCUCAAGCAUGUCAGAGAGGAGAAUUUAUUACCCGUGGCACUGCUGUCAUUGGGAAUGCAGAGUUCUGGUUGUCAUUCUCAGUGUGAUCUGCCAUCGUCGGCACCUGGUGCAUGGAGCAGAGAACAAGCAGGCUCUGCAGAGGAGAGAGCCUAGAUCCUGGGACCAGAAGACCUUGACAUGUACAGCCCAUUCUCAGGGCUGAUGUCUGUCAUAUUUCUGUGAAUUUCAGAUGCUCUUUUGUCUCCUUCAAAUUUUAACGUACUUGAAAGCAAAAUUCAUCUUAUAACAGAGCCAUACACUUAAUGAAGUGCAUUUUUUGUUGGUCCCUGUGAAGCAGUUAUGAAAUCAAUGGUGAGUACCACAAUCAAUGGUAUUUGGGAAUCAAGGAAAUUCUAUCUGUGGCCCUGGGUAAAUUCUUUGCCUUUCUGAGUCCUAAUUCCCUUAUCUAUAAAAGGGCAGGGUUGUUGUAAAUAUUGGAGAUGUAUGUAAUGGCCUUAGUACAGUGACUUGUAGCUUUAAUUCAUCGAUGGAAAGUCUAUUAUGCGUUUCAUAAAAUAUGUGUCAGAUUAGUGUUUUGUUAGACUAAUCCAUA
rnacentral:lncRNA from 10 species